AUCCAGUUGACGAGUCCCGAAUGAGACGAAACAAGCGUCCUGGAU
rfam:Schistosoma mattheei strain Denwood, Zambia genome assembly, scaffold: SMTD_scaffold0002580